rnacentral:rRNA from 1 species
UACGUAGGGUGCAAGCGUUAAUCGGAAUUACUGGGCGUAAAGCGUGCGCAGGCGGCUUUGCAAGACAGAUGUGAAAUCCCCGGGCUUAACCUGGGAACUGCAUUUGUGACUGCAUGGCUGGAGUGCGGCAGAGGGGGAUGGAAUUCCGCGUGUAGCAGUGAAAUGCGUAGAUAUGCGGAGGAACACCGAUGGCGAAGGCAACCGCCUGGGCCUGUACUGACGCUGAGACACGAAAGCGUGGGGAGCAAACAGG